UACAGAGGUCCCAAGCGUUGUUCGGAUUCACUGGGCGUAAAGGGUGCGUAGGUGGUGAAGUAAGUCGGAUGUGAAAUCUCGGAGCUUAACUCCGAAACUGCAUUGGAAACUACUUUGCUCGAGGGUUGGAGGGGGGACUGGAAUUCUCGGUGUAGCAGUGAAAUGCGUAGAUAUCGAGAGGAACACCAGUGGCGAAGGCGAGUCCCUGGACAACUCCUGACACUGAGGCACGAAAGCGUGGGGAGCAAACAGG
rnacentral:rRNA from 1 species